UACGGAGGGGGCUCGCGUUGUUCGGAAUUACUGGGCGUAAAGCGCCCGUAGGCGGCUUGGUAAGUUAGAGGUGAAAGCCUGGAGCUCAACUCCAGAAUUGCCUUUAAGACUGCCGAGCUAGCAGGUGAGAGAGGUGAGUGGAAUUCCGAGUGUAGAGGUGAAAUUCGUAGAUAUUCGGAAGAACACCAGUGGCGAAGGCGGCUCACUGGCUCAUACUGGACGCUGAGGUGCGAAAGCGUGGGGAGCAAACAGG
rnacentral:rRNA from 1 species